rnacentral:rRNA from 1 species
AUUGAACGCUGGCGGCAUGCCUUACACAUGCAAGUCGAACGGCAGCACGGAGCUUGCUCUGGUGGCGAGUGGCGAACGGGUGAGUAAUAUAUCGGAACGUACCCUAGAGUGGGGGAUAACGUAGCGAAAGUUACGCUAAUACCGCAUACGAUCUAAGGAUGAAAGUGGGGGAUCGCAAGACCUCAUGCUCGUGGAGCGGCCGAUAUCUGAUUAGCUAGUUGGUAGGGUAAAAGCCUACCAAGGCAUCGAUCAGUAGCUGGUCUGAGAGGACGACCAGCCACACUGGAACUGAGACACGGUCCAGACUCCUACGGGAGGCAGCAGUGGGGAAUUUUGGACAAUGGGCGAAAGCCUGAUCCAGCAAUGCCGCGUGAGUGAAGAAGGCCUUCGGGUUGUAAAGCUCUUUUGUCAGGGAAGAAACGGUGGGAGCUAAUAUCUCUUGCUAAUGACGGUACCUGAAGAAUAAGCACCGGCUAACUACGUGCCAGCAGCCGCGGUAAUACGUAGGGUGCAAGCGUUAAUCGGAAUUACUGGGCGUAAAGCGUGCGCAGGCGGUUUUGUAAGUCUGAUGUGAAAUCCCCGGGCUCAACCUGGGAAUUGCAUUGGAGACUGCAAGGCUAGAAUCUGGCAGAGGGGGGUAGAAUUCCACGUGUAGCAGUGAAAUGCGUAGAUAUGUGGAGGAACACCGAUGGCGAAGGCAGCCCCCUGGGUCAAGAUUGACGCUCAUGCACGAAAGCGUGGGGAGCAAACAGGAUUAGAUACCCUGGUAGUCCACGCCCUAAACGAUGCCUACUAGUUGUCGGGUCUUAAUUGACUUGGUAACGCAGCUAACGCGUGAAGUAGACCGCCUGGGGAGUACGGUCGCAAGAUUAAAACUCAAAGGAAUUGACGGGGACCCGCACAAGCGGUGGAUGAUGUGGAUUAAUUCGAUGCAACGCGAAAAACCUUACCUACCCUUGACAUGGCUGGAAUCCUUGAGAGAUCAGGGAGUGCCCGAAAGAGAACCAGUACACAGGUGCUGCAUGGCUGUCGUCAGCUCGUGUCGUGAGAUGUUGGGUUAAGUCCCGCAACGAGCGCAACCCUUGUCAUUAGUUGCUACGAAAGGGCAUUCUAAUGAGACUGCCGGUGACAAACCGGAGGAAGGUGGGGAUGACGUCAAGUCCUCAUGGCCCUUAUGGGUAGGGCUUCACACGUCAUACAAUGGUACAUACAGAGCGCCGCCAACCCGCGAGGGGGAGCUAAUCGCAGAAAGUGUAUCGUAGUCCGGAUUGUAGUCUGCAACUCGACUGCAUGAAGUUGGAAUCGCUAGUAAUCGCGGAUCAGCAUGUCGCGGUGAAUACGUUCCCGGGUGU